CCCCACCAAUGUGCCUCAAUAAAAUUCUGAGUUGCGAAGUACCCUUUUCAAGUGCAUUCAGUUCUUGAUGCCAGCUGCAGAAUGGCCAAUUUUUGUGACACAGACAGCAGUCCACAAGGAGCUGUUUAGACACAGUCAGAGACUGCACCCUUGCCCGCAAACCACCCUGGAUACCUCUGAGAAGCCUGAGCCACAAGCCCUUGGUGUGAACAGCAAGGAUGAGGAAGAGGUGGAGGAGAAACAGGAGGAGGAUGGAGGUCCAGCUAUGCCAUGAGCCAGGACCUUUUUGAGACUCCACCACAAUCCAGUCAGUCUGGGCAAUUGAGCACAGGGAUGGCGGCCUUAUUUCUUCCUCCGUGGUAGGACACAUUCCAUUCGUCAGGCACCAUUGCAAUGAACAGCUGCCACCGCUGUGGCCUUGAAGGGUUCGCACUCCACACCUGCAGAACGCGUGAGACAGAUAAGGAGGAGAAAGAAGAGGACUUAGGAUGACAUGUUGUGAUGAAGUGGGAAUAUUUUGGUAACAUUUCUGAGUCCUGUUUGUGCCUCAGUUUCCCCUAUAUACUGUAUUGUUAUCCGGGGGACGGGGGCAAUGGGGAGGAUGGGGUGGAAAGUGACUGUUUGCUUUCAGGGCAGGCUAGGAGACGUAGGUUUGGGUGCAGCCUGACUGUCUGGGUCUAGGUUCCUAUAUCAAUGAAGCAUUUGCAAAUCCAAUCACUUGGACACUGACACCUAGCAACCAAUGACCCAGAGGGAUAUGGACUUCCCUGCCUCUUCUUAGGGAAGCUGAACAACAAUCACCAGCUCAAGACUGGAGAGGUAUGAAGUGGGGGGAUAAGAGUUGACUGCUGGAAGGUGUCAGGGCUCUCACCUGGAGUCUGACGAUGGAAGGAAAGAUGGAGCUUGAACCAAAAAGUUCACCUCAGCUUGGCUGGGCUCUGGGAUAACCAGAAUGGACUUGGGCUAUGUUUUAAACUUCAGUUUUCUAGGCUACCCAAAAGGACUUCCUAUGCUGUGUUCCUGUAAACUAAUAAACCAACUGUUUUGCCAAUGAUGUCACUGCAAGUGCUUGGUGAAGUGCAUUAAUCCCUGAAGAGCGUACAAGUUUCCAACAGGAGUCAACCUCAGUUGGACUCACUGAAUGGCGCUCACAGUGUGAAGCAGGAGUGCUGAAGGCCCAAAGGUCUAGUCUAAGGAGGUGGUGAAGCCACAUGGCUUACCCUUCAGGAAGACUGAGACUCAUAGGGGAUCUCUGAAGGGGUUCCUCCUACAGACUGUUCCAAAGCUGGGCACGUAGCACUGAUUCUGUGCAUCUGUGACACAAGUUCAAUGAGAUCCUGCAAGCCAGUGCUGCAUCAGGCUGCGAGCAAAGGACCUGGAGGGUGAACAUUGCAGACAGCCUGGAGAAGGAAAGAGCAGGCAGGGGAAAGGCCCAGAAGUCCCAGCAGGAAAAGGAGAGGGAGCUGCACCAGUACAUAAUGGGGCUUCUCCAGCAGCAAAUAUAGAUUCUGCAGGUUCUUGUGGGCCUUAUGGACAGGUGAAACAAUCAGUGGCCCACCUCACUCUGCAGCCCAUGGAGAACUCCAUUACAGCACCUCUCUCCAUCUCCCCUCAACAUUCCACGUGGCAUCAGGGGCCACCUCCCUUCCCCUACUACUUCACCUUGGAGGACAGUAAGGAGAACCACAGCUUCACAUAUACUGACCUGGGAAAGUCCCAGUUGCAGUAUGUGUAGGGAAAAAGGACAUGGAUGUUCUUUCCCCCUUGUUAAGUUCUGUUCCAUUAAUUACGUUUUUAAAAAUCUAGCUGCAUGACACUUAUAAAUGGUGGUGAAAGUCAAUGUGGGGAAGUUAAAGUUACCAGCCCUGAGAAAUGACUCCAAAUGUGAAUGUGGCGAGCCUAGUCAAAACAUUUUAACUCUGCCAAUAUCUUGUAAUCCCAACAAACUGUUCGACAUAAGUGAUAAUACUAGGUCUUGACUGUGGCUUUGGAGCCACAAGCUUUUUGACUGCCAUUUAUGGGGGAGCAACUCCACAUGCAGACUGCCAGUACAAGUCCUGCCACCAAAUGGGCCAUGUUGCUUUGUUAGUAAAACACCCCUCUUUUUAAAAAACACCCAAGGUGACAAAGGAGUGAGGGGUAAAUAGCUUCACAGAUCCCAUUAUGAACAGGUAAGUCAUAACAUUAUCAGUCCAGUAUAAUUCUGGCUGUCAACUGGAAAUGAACAGUGUAAGAAGUGUUAAUGUGCACACAUGCUGCAAAAGUGUUUAAUUUGCACCCAUCACCACGACUGGCUCAAUGUCUUGCGGGGUCCAUGAAUAAAUCUUAUGCUGAAUUUUACAAUUCAGUUGUACCAAAGACGUGUAGAUUUGAGAUUAGUUCAUUUACUUGCUCUCCUUAUGAAGCUGAAAUUAAUCAACGUAGCCGUGUAAAAUGAUGGUUAUGUAUAAUAUGCUAUCUUCUUCAUGUUGCUGCUAGAUCUAGUCAUUUAAGGAAAAUAUAUCUUAAGCCUUUUCAUUGUCUAACCUCUGUGAAUGAAAGCUAGUUCUCAUAUUGAAUAACGACAACUCAAUCAAAACAGACUUUUGUACAUGAUUAAACUCUGUUGCAUGGCACCUGAUAGGCAAUAAGCUGGCUUGUAAAUCCUGUGGCUUCAGUCAUGAAUUCAUUUACAAUGAAAUAGUGGCGGUCAAGUAAUAUUUUCAUAGUCAAUUUGCUUUUGACACAUUUGCUUUGUUAUCACGGUUCCAUUGCUGCUUUUAUAUUGCACAAGUCAUGACAUCCGGUACUUUGGAGAGAUUGUCUAUAUUUAAGUUGGCCAGAUACUAUUUCCAUACUACUACGUGUGUACAUUGAUUCUGUUUCCUAGUUGUGUAAGAGGGGCUAUUAUAUUCUUCUUAGUUACCCAGUGAAAUCAGCAGAGCUUUUCGAAGAAGUUGCAUGCUGUCAUUAUACAAAGUUGUGGAUCAUUCUGCUAUUAGUCAUACCUGUAUUUUUCUUGGUCAUGGCCUUGAGUUAAAAACUUCUCUGGCAAAAAUGUUUAAAAGGCUAUAUAAUAGUUCAAGAGACAGACAUAGCUUUCACACUUCUUUUCAGCAUGGUCUCAAUCUUUGCUGGUUUCCAAUUUCACUUCAUAUGUAUUCAUAUUCAGCUAUGUUUUUGUCGGGCAAGUACUGCAAAUCAUACAGCAAAGAAAACAAAUCUUGAGAAAGCUGAAACCACUUAUGCUGCCUUAGUUCUGUUUGCCCUGGUUCUGUUUUCCAUUCCUUCCUGUCCCGACCAUGCUAGGAGAAAUGUGAGAUUAGCUUCUAUACUCUCUGGUUUAAUAAAUAAAUAAAGACAGCUGUUCCAUAUAAAUCAUCAGAACAGACUAAUAAGCAGUUUCAACAGUUGUUUGUAUCCUGAUUUUUUUCCUGUUUAAUUUCCUUAUAGCAGAUAAGUUUUUAAAUACUUCGUUUGCAUAAUUCACCAAGGUGAGAUAACACUGAAUAUAUUUGUGUACUGCUUGUUUUGAAAACUUCAAAAGUGUUGGAAGCUAAUGUGUCAUUUAAUUCUGUCGAUUUUGCUUGUCUUAGCUUUAUUCAGGCUAAAUAUUUUACAGCUAUCUUCAUAAUAGUAAUUUCACUAUAUGACUUCAUUCUCUUUAAACUCCUGUUUUAAAGAUGAGGCAUGCAAAUACUGGUUUAAAUUCAAGAAUGCAGCUGCACUGCAGGAAUAAUUAGUUUGCUGAACCUGCAGAUGUCAAUAACUUUUCUUCUCUGUGUGUUUUCUCUUUCUCCCUGGCGUACCUUGCAUUUGUAAUAAAAAUAUUUCCAAACAAAGUUGACAAAUAGUAAAGUGAGCUACUAAAAUCCCCAAACAGACAUAAAUUUGCUGUGAUGAAACUGAUGCAAAUCUACGCAAUAGCUCCGGUUUUCCCUUGGUGAUUCCUACCAUGGUUCAUAUGUUAUGUUUUGUACCAUAUCAUGUGUUCAUGCCAGGGAUCUUGUUUACACUACAUGCCAGGUGCCUCUUGUUUAGAUUAUAAGGUACUAAAUGUAGGGGCUGACUUAAACUUUAUCUUGUACAGCACUGAAUUCAUUGUUGAUGCAUGUAAGCCAGGGACAGAUACGCCAGCUGGGGAAGGUAACAUGAAGCCCCAAAAUACAGUUCAGAAGUGCCUUUCCUCGGGUUUGGCUUCAACACAAAGAAGAUUCAAAAACAAGAACACAGCCCAGAACAUUUGGGCUCAGAUCCUCAGUGGUAUUUA